CAGGUAGGUGAGUCGAGUAGACUAAGGCGCUCGGGAGAAUGGUGGUUAAGGAACUCUGCAAAAUGACCCCGUAAGUUCGCGAUAAGGGGUGCCCUCUGGGGUGAAUAGCUCUGGGGGGCCACAGUAAAUCGGCUCUAGCGACUGUUUAUCAAAAACACAGGACUCUGCCAACUCGCAAGAGGAUGUAUAGAGUCUGACGCCUGCCCGGUGCCGGUAGGUUAAGGAAGAGGGUUAGCGCAAGCGAAGCUCGCGACCGAAGCCCCGGUAAACGGCGGCCGUAACUAUGACGGUCCUAAGGUAGCGAAGUUCCUUGUCGGGUAAGUUCCGACCUGCAUGAAUGGCGUAACGACUGGAGCACUGUCUCAACCACCAACCCGGUGAAAUUGUAGUCGUGGUGAAGAUGCCACGUACCCGCGGUCAGACGGAAAGACCCCAUGAACCUUUACUGUAGGCUGAUAUUGGGCUGAGGCAUGUUCUGUGUAGGAUAGGCGGGAGGCUACGAAGUUCGUGCGCCAGCACGGGCGGAGCCGACGUUGAAAUACCGCCCUGAAGAUGUCUUAGUUCUAACCCCGCACCGGAAAACCCGACGGGGAACAGUGUCAGUUGGGCAGUUUGACUGGGGCGGUCUCCUCCCAAAGAGUAACGGAGGAGCGCAAUGGUACCCUCAGCCCGGUCGGUAAUCGGGCAAAGAGCGUAAAGGUAGAAGGGUGCUUAACUGCGAGACUCCUAAGUCGAGCAGAUACGAAAGUAGGUCUUAGUGAUCCGGUGGUCCCGAAUGGAAGGGCCAUCGCUCAUCAGAUAAAAGGUACUCUGGGGAUAACAGGCUUAUCGCUCCCGAGCGCCCACAGCGGCGGAGCGGUUUGGCACCUCGAUGUCGGCUCAUCGCAUCCUGGGGGUGAAGAAGCUCCCAAGGGUUUGGCUGUUCGCCAAUGAAAGCGGUACGUGAGCUGGGUUCAGACCGUCGUGAGACAGGUCGGUCCCUAUCUGCCGUGGGCGUACGAAACUUGCGAAGAUUCUUCCCUAGUACGAGAGGACUUGGAAGGACGAACCUCUGGUAUCCCAGUUGUCACGCUCGUGGCAUGGCUGGAUAGCUAUGUUCGGAAAGGAUAAACGCUGAAAGCAUCUAAGCGUGAAGCCCGCUUCAAGAUCAGGUUUCGUAAGGACAAUGUCCGAAACUCCCCUGGAAGACUACCAGGUCGAUAGGCCGGAAGUGCAAGCCUCGUAAGAGGUGCAGCGAACCGGUACUAACGGAGAAACGCUUGACCGA
rnacentral:rRNA from 1 species